rnacentral:rRNA from 1 species
AACGAACGCUGGCGGCAUGCCUAAUACAUGCAAGUCGAACGAUCACUUCGGUGGUAGUGGCGCACGGGUGCGUAACGCGUGGGAAUCUGCCCUUGGGUUCGGAAUAACGUCGGGAAACUGACGCUAAUACCGGAUGAUGACGUAAGUCCAAAGAUUUAUCGCCCAGGGAUGAGCCCGCGUAGGAUUAGCUAGUUGGUGGGGUAAAGGCCUACCAAGGCGACGAUCCUUAGCUGGUCUGAGAGGAUGAUCAGCCACACUGGGAAUGAGACACGGCCCAGACUCCUACGGGAGGCAGCAGUAGGGAAUAUUGGACAAUGGGCAACCCUGAUCCAGCAAUGCCGCGUGAGUGAUGAAGGCCUUAGGGUUGUAAAGCUCUUUUACCCGGGAUGAUAAUGACAGUACCGGGAGAAUAAGCCCCGGCUAACUCCGUGCCAGCCGCCGCGGUAA